AAUCUUCCACAAUGGGCGAAAGCCUGAUGGAGCAACGCCGCGUGAGUGAAGAAGGCCUUCGGGUUGUAAAGUACUUUUGGCAGAGAAGAAAAGGCAUCCCCUAAUACGGGAUGCUGCUGACGGUAUCUGCAGAAUAAGCACCGGCUAACUACGUGCCAGCAGCCGCGGUAAUACGUAGGGUGCAAGCGUUAAUCGGAAUUACUGGGCGUAAAGCGUGUGUAGGCGGUUCGGAAAGAAAGAUGUGAAAUCCCAGGGCUCAACCUUGGAACUGCAUUUUUAACUGCCGAGCUAGAGUAUGUCAGAGGGGGGUAGAAUUCCACGUGUAGCGGUGAAAUGCGUAGAUAUGUGGAGGAAUACCGAUGGCGAAGGCAGCCCCCUGGGAUAAUACUGACGCUCAGACACGAAAGCGUGGGGAGCAAACAGG
rnacentral:rRNA from 1 species